AAUUUACUGUUCAUCACUAUAACCAUAGUCAUGUCAGUGUGACAUGUACUUUUCCAGUGAAUGUUUGUCUGUCUGACUGACAGAAGUUGCUCACGAAGUUCAUCACGUAAAACAGACAGCGUCAAAAUUCGUGAUGAACGGUUCCGGGUACAGAGCUGUAUAGUCC